UGUUUGUGGACAUUUUUAGGGACACAAAGCAAGACAAAACAGAUCCUCACCAGCUAAGAUCAGACUGAUUAUGAAUAUACCUCUUUAGCAGAGAGCACAUGAUAGUGAGAGGAAGGGUUUCUGUGGACAAAUGCUGUUAUUGGAUAUCUGAAGAAACAUGAGGCUGUCACAGCUACAGCAUGAUGUACCAGAGUUUAAAGGAAGGCCAUGUCAACAGGAAUGCACAGAGCAGAGAACAGUUGAGCACAGAACAGUUUUCAAAAAUGACGUCCCAUGGAAAAUAAUCAGGGUUACUGUAGCAAGCAGACCCUCAGGCACAUUGGCAACAAUGAUUCCAAUAAGGAAGAUGACAGCUUCAAGCCACCCAUAUCCAAGAAUUAGGGACAAGAUGAAGAAGGACACGCCCAGGAAAACAGCCACACCAGUAAUAAUGUGGAUGAAGUGUUCAAUCUCUUUAGCAAUUGGUGUCUGUCCAACCUCAAGACUUGAGGCCAGGGUGGCAAUUCGACCCAUCACAGUGCGAUCACCUGUGUUGAUGACAAUACCUCUGGCAGAACCUGAAAACGAGAUAUAAUAUAAUAUAUAAAAAGAAUACAAUGUUCCUUGUUUCCAGAGGAUUGUCAUUGGAGAAGUCAGGAGUACGUGUCUGAGGCUCAGAUUCACCAGUAAGGGAUGAAUUGUCCACCUGAAAGUGCGACCAUGUUAAAACUGCUAUGAAGAAAGGAACUCAAUGACAGUAAGAUAAUCGCCACUUUUAUAAGAGCUUCUAGUAUCUCACUGUUUUGAAUCUUAGGGACAAUUAUCCUUAUGUUUUCAAUGAAUCUUAGAAUGAUUUCUUUAAUUUUACCUAAUUUUAACCUUUUUUUACACUAGGUCUGGUGUUUUACAGCAGGGGAAACUGUCACAUGGUCAUACAUGCACAGGAUGGAAAUUUCAGCAACAGACAACCUACAAAGAGGAAGAGUGGCGGCAGCAGAUCAGGCACCACAAUAAAUAUUUCACUGUGUUGUCUCUGUUUGAACUUGUGUUAUGCAGAGAUUUUAUCAAAUAAUGGAGUGCUAAAUAAAGUAUUGAACAUAA